GACGAACGCUGGCGGCGUGCUUAACACAUGCAAGUCGAGCGGAAAGGCCUGCUUUCCCUUGUGGAUUGCGGGUACUCGAGUGGCGAACGGGUGAGUAACACGUGAGUGAUCUGCCCCCAACUUGGGUAUAAGCCUGGGAAACUGGGUCUAAUUCCCGAUAGGACUGCAGGGUGGUGCCUGUGGUGGAAAACGAUUUUCUAGUGGUUGGGGAUGAGCUCGCGGCCUAUCAGCUUGUUGGUGGGGUAAUGGCCUACCAAGGCGGCGACGGGUAGCCGGCCUGAGAGGGUGGACGGCCACAGUGGGACUGAGAUACGGCCCAGACUCCUACGGGAGGCAGCAGUGGGGAAUAUUGCACAAUGGGCGGAAGCCUGAUGCAGCGACGCCGCGUGGGGGAUGACGGCCUUCGGGUUGUAAACUCCUUUCGACCGCGAGGAAGCCACCUGGUUGGAAGGGUGGUGACGGUAGUGGUAGAAGAAGCACCGGCUAACUACGUG
rnacentral:rRNA from 1 species